GUUAAAUGCCUUUCUCAAGGUCACGACGGUGCAAAAACCACCGGGGAAAGAGGAUCUCAGGUCUCCGACCUUUCUGCACUGGAAAGGCAGCACGGCGCAACGUGCUCCGCUCUGCUCGAAAUCCCAACGCCACAAGGUUUUCGGGUUAAGGAUGGACACCCCGAAUGCUCUCCACCGAGCUCCACCGGACUUGGGUACCCCGUGGCGUUCCCGUCCGCACUCCCGCCGUCCCAGUCCGAGCGCCACUGCUCUGAGAGGGGCCAGUGAGGGUCACUUACCGUCGCUCUCCGCCCUGACGAGCAGGGACAUGCCCUUCAGCCUCUCCACGUAGCCGGAGGACACAUGGCCAGUACCCCGGUCGUCCCACUGCCGGUCCUCGUUGAGCGUGUAGACCUUCACCCGCCGUCGGGUGUCGGUCAUCGUGCCGGCCGGGGGCCCCGCCCGAGUGGCCCAGGGACAGUGUCCAGAAAAGGCGGGCGGCCGCAAACGGGGAACUCCGGGACCUCAGUGCCACCGCUGGCCGCCGCGGAGCUGCGCCGCCGCUCGCAUGGCCCGCUCCCGGGUCCGAGCCCCGGGCCGCCGCCUUCUCUCGUCUCCUUCUCCCCGGCGCUAUUGUCCAGGCCGAGCGAGCGCGGCCGCCCAGCAGCCCCGACAGGGAACGCGCAGCACUACGCAGCCUACCGGCCCGCCGUUCCAACGAGGUGCGGCUCGGUUCACAGACCCGCUCCGGCCUCCACCAUGACCUCCGCAGAGCCGCUUUCCCGCGCCGCCGCCUCCUCAGGCCGCCGCCGCCAUGUUUUCCUCCCUUGUACCUGGCCCAGCCGCUGCAGCAGGAAGCCCCGCUCCGCUCCUCCCGCUUAAAGCAUCCGAAGCCGGUGAGGUAGCACUUCCCGGGAGACUCCGAACGCCUCUGGCCACCCGAGAACCCCUGGCUCUUCUUAGAAGCCGCCUUCCCUACUCCGCCGCCUCUUCCGUCUUCCUCACAGAGCCAAAGCCGCCGCCAUCUUGGCUCGCCCCUCAAAAGCGGCGCGCGGGGCCACCUAGGCAGUAGCGGCAGGGGCGGCCCGCAAGCCCCACCACUUAAAGCGACAAGACGGGAGCCGGCAGCUUCGCUCCGGCCGAGGCCUUGCACCGAGGCGGGCGCGGAGCUGCGGGGGUGGCGGGAGCGGAGGAGGCGGGACGCGAGUCGCGCCGGUGACGGACCGGGACUCCCUCGCGCUGCCCUGCGCGUACUGUCGUGCAAGCGCGGGCUGCGUGUGCGUCCGUCGCACUUUGAAUUCGUCAUCACCUCGGCUCCGGGCGGGGAAGGGGUGUGGAGUCUGUUGGCGGCUUCUGGAGCCAGACUGGACUCUGAUCCCGGAGCUCGUCCUUUCCCGUGCGAGCCUUCUCCGGACGCUUUAGGGAGGACCUUUGCAGUCGGCCCUGGGGGCGCGGGCUGCUGGCGUCCUCCUCGUCCUCCCCCCGCCCUCCUCCUCCUCCUCCUCUUCUUCCCUUGGCCUGAAAUAGAGAAGUUUCUGAGAGAGGACCGUUUGGACCGCGAGGUUGGCGGGAUGCAGUGAGGCACGCAAUGGCCGGCCUCACAAUGUUGCUCUGACUGGCUGAAGCAACGUAUGCGAGAAGCUGGGAUCUUUCUUAACCCACACCAGAGACAAGUGCUCGCAAAGACAUACCUGAAAUCAUUCACCAACAAAACUCGGAAGCAUGUAAAAACAAAGCAGUUGCUGUUUCUAAAUACCAGAAUGCAAUCCUUUCAAGCAUCUAGAUGGAGCCCAUGAGCUCCAAGCAGAGCAGGUCUCAUUAUAUACCCCAGGCUAGUGACCUAACUUUGAACUGAUUCAGGCAACAGGAAACGCUAAACAAUUCACUCUUCAGAUCUAAAAACCUUAAUAUCUAAUCCCAGCACUUCAGAGAUGGAGGCAGGCAGAUCUGAAGUGCAAGGUCAUCUCUGGUUACAUAUAAAUGACACAACCUCGGGGUUCGACGUGUGAUAAGGUAUCCUGUAACUACUCUUUGUACCGCUGGGAUCUACCCUGCUUCACUGGAUGACAUGCAGCCUUUUCUCUUAGCAACUGCAUGAAUAAACAUCCAAGAGAACUUGUUUGUUUGGUUUAGUUUUUUGAGACAAGGUUUCUCUGUAUAGCCCUGGCUGCCCGGGAACUCACUCUGUAGACCAGGCUGGCCUCAAACUCAGAAAUCUGCCUGCCUCUGCCUCCUGAGGGCUGGGAUUAAAGGCGUGCGCCACCACACCCGGCGAUAACUUUUUUUUUUUAAAGAUUUAUUUUUAUGUGUAUCAGUUUGUCUGCGUGUAUGUAUGUGCACUAUGUGUAAGCCUGAUGCUCUUGGAGGCCAGAAGAGGAUGUUGGAUCACCUGUUAACUGUGAUUACAGGCAAUUGGGAACUGCAUGCGGAUGAUGAGAAGCAAGGCCUUGUCCUUUACAAGAGAAGCCUGUGGUUUAAACUGCUGAGCUGUCUUUCUAGUUCCAAAUACCUAAGAGGAGUCUAAAGUCCUUCUCAAAGGACCUUGAGAUAUCUUUUUUUGCUUGUUUUUUCAAGACAGGGUUUCUCUGUGUAGCCCUGGCUAUCCUGGAACUCACUCUGUAGACCAGGCUGGCCUCGAACUCAGAAAUCCGCCUGCCUCUGCCUCCUGAGGGCUGGGAUUAAAGGCGUGCGCCACCACUGCCUGGCCCUUGAGAUAUCUUAGUGAAUGAGGAAAGGCACUUAAACUGCUAAACCCAACCAAGUGAAUUUGAUCCUUGAAACUCACAUGAUGGAAGGAGAGAACCAAUCCCCUUACCUUGUUCUCUGACAGCUACACACCCCUCUCCCACAGAAAUAAAAUGUU
rnacentral:lncRNA from 1 species